rnacentral:rRNA from 1 species
UGAGGAAUAUUGGUCAAUGGGCUGAGGCCUGAACCAGCCAAGUCGCGUGAGGGAAGACGGUCCUAUGGAUUGUAAACCUCUUUUGCCGGGGAGCAAGACGGUCACGAGUGACCUACUGAGAGUACCCGGAGAAAAAGCAUCGGCUAACUCCGUGCCAGCAGCCGCGGUAAUACGGAGGAUGCGAGCGUUAUCCGGAUUUAUUGGGUUUAAAGGGUGCGUAGGCCGACUGUCAAGUCAGUGGUAAAAUUGAGAGGCUCAACCUCUUCGAGCCAUUGAAACUGGCGGUCUAGAGUGGGCGAGAAGUAUGCGGAAUGCGAGGUAUAGCGGUGAAAUGCAUAGAUAUCACGCAGAACUCCGAUUGCGAAGGCAGCAUACCGGCGCCCGACUGACGCUGAGGCACGAAAGCGUGGGUAUCGAACAGGAUUAGAUACC